CUUAUUCAAAAAUGAAUUUAAAAAUAUUGUUUACAAGGUUUCUUUGUUGGCAGGCUAACCUGAAGAGAGAGAGAAGAGAAGUUAGUGAGUGCACGACUACUUAUAAGCUGCUGUAAGGUGUGAGGAUAGGAACUAACUUGUUUUUGGUCACCAACGCUUUUUCCGGGGCGUGGCUUGUUGUACUGGCUCCUCCCGUAGUCGGAGUGGUUUGUGAUUUCUGUUUCCGGCUCGACGGGAAUUUUAAAAGCUCGCCUACUGCUCGUGUACUCAGUGUGAACACCGGGUUAUCUCAAAGUCAUUCAUACUUUAAAUGCGACUUUAUUCGGCAAAAAUUAAAUAGCCUAAAUAUAGACUAAACAUGGCCUCGGAUUGUCACUUCAACUCCAUAUCCAAGGAGGAAGAGGAGGGAGAGGAAUUUGAUCGGAUGCUGGAGCGGAUCGGUGGAAAGGGGAAUAUUUAUUUGGUAGGAGACACGGAUGGAGAAAACAACUGCAGCCUUUUCCAGGAGUUUAUCAUGGACAUGUUUCACACCGAGGUGCACAUCAAGAGGGACAAAAACGCAAAUCUCGGCAACGGGAACAUCAAAUCUGCCGCUGCGAGAAACUGUCCUGUUUCUGAUGUGGCUCAAGGAAAAGGCGAGAAUAACGCCGACGUGGACGAGAAAUGUGUCCGACACAUGCGCAAAAUCUCCGGUCACAGCGGACGAGCGAUUCAUUGCGCCGCCAUCAUCUUCAUUUUCAGACACGGAUACAUUCAGAACAAGGCGAACCAUGUGUGUAUGGAGGAGAUCCUGAAGGACAUAAAGGUUCGAGUGAAGAAAAAUCAUGGAGUUCAUCAGGCGGUACUGGGCCUCGUUCGUGCUGACGCUGAAAGCUCGGAGACUCGCGAGUCUGUGUCGCUCUUGGAGGGGACAGUGAGAUCUGUGUUCAUAAAACAUCCACACAACUCCAUAUGGAUUGGCCAUUUUAUUCCUAACGCAGCAGAUUGCAUAGAGAACAUCAAAAGGAACAUCUGCAAAGCUGUGAAUGAGUCUCAGAGCCCAGGUUAAAUAGCAUGAUAUCAUGUAGUACGUUUUUUACAUACAUACAUGCAUAACAAUUUGAAGGAGGCAUGAUCUCUGCAUCUCAGUCUUAAUGAAGGAGGCGUGGCCUCUGCAUCCAUAUUUCAGUGAAGGAGGUGUGGCCUUAGUGCCUCUUAGUCCCGAAGGGAGGUAUGGCCUCUGUGUUUGAUAGUCACAGUGAAGGAGCCAUGGCUAUGGCAUCACUAUUUUAGUGAAAGAGGUGUGGCCUGUGUGUCAGUCCUAGUGAAGAAUGUGUGGCCUUUGCCUGUUAGACCCAAUGAAGGAUUUAUGGUCUCAAUGAAGGUGGCAUGUCUCAACGUGUCAGUCUCAGUAAAGGUGGUCUCAGUGUGUAGGUCUCGGUAAGGGAGGUGUGGUCUCAGUUUGUAGGUCUCAGUCAGGAAGGAAUGGUCUCAGUGUCGGUCUCAGCAAAGGAGGUGUGGUCUCAUUGCGUCGGUCUCGGCGAAGGAGGUGUGGUCACAGUGCCUAUUAUGCCAAGUUUACACUACACGAUUUUAGGCCCAAUUUUCACUCGCCAAUAGUUUUGUGGAGAUCGCAGACAAAAGCCCAAAAUCAUAGCAAAUGAGAGCUCGCUCUCGUGAGCGAUGAAUGCAAUGUAUGAAUUAUCAAAGAUGCGAUCUGAGAGAAGCACCGACGCAUCAAUGAUGUCAGCGAGAUAUCUGGACCUGUCUGCGAUUCCAAAUCGCGUAAUGUUUUGACCGAAUAUAACUGCAGCUUUGCUCUACAGCCAAUGAGAGAGCAUGAACCAGGGCACUGCCCGGGAAGUUUCAGUGGGAGGAUGUUACCUUCAAGUCUCUCUGCAGAACAGACUAUCCUUGCUGCCUGCGUCUCCUCAACCAUUCCCUUCUUCAUAGUCUUUUCUACUUUUUUGACUUUUCGCUGCAAAUCCACGCAGAAAGAAAGUGUAUCGCAAGCUUCUUGUGGUCCGCCAUUUUCAAAACCCUGCCCGGACAAGCAUGAGGACGUCUACUCACGCGUGAUCUUGUGUAAUUCUCGUAUCACUUCUUGCGUGUACUCUGUUGUGAAACAUAAUUCGGAGUCCAGGCAGAGUCGUCAGGGAUUCAUCAAUAGUGAAAUAUUUUGUAAUGUGUUCACCCCUGUUGCCGAUUGCUCAUGUAAUUUGAAAACCCUAUGACUUCCAUGACAAGACAGACAGUUGUGUAAUAUGAACAGUACCACAACCCGACGUCUUUGAAAGUUGUGUAGUGUGUAGAAGCUAUAAGUAGUGCUGCAUUCGACUAAAACAGCACCCCCUACCUCAACACACUCCACGUUCCCUCACUCAAUCUGCGUUCGAUUAACGACCAAUGCUUAGUAGUGCCUCGAGCGUGGCUCAAGGUCCCAUUCCAGAACCUUCACACUAACUGUCUCUCAGUGAUGGAAUGAACUUCCAACCUCAAUCCGGAUCACAGAAUCUGUCACUAUCUUCAAAAAACAGCUAAAGAUCCUCCUCUUCCGUGAGCAUGUAACUAACCCAUAAAAUGCCAACCCCACAUUAUCCUUAAAAAAAAAAAAACCUUUGGCACUUACACCUCUACUCUGCGCAUUUUCUAGAACUCAAUUAUUAAUCUUGUAUGGUAGCAGUACUUGUAUUGUUCUCUGCUUGAAAUGUCGCUUUGCUUGUAUUUCCUCAUUUGUAAGUCGCUUUGGAUAAAAGCGUCUGCUAAAUGAAUAAAUGUAAAUGUAAAGCCUCAAUGACUCAAUUUCCAACCUUUGAAUAGAAAAAAUCAAAGAAAACUUCCCCCUCAUGGAGCUCAAAGACACCGAGGUUAAACAUGAAGUAAUUCUGUGUUCUGACUUCCCACUCCAAACACAGCAUAGCAGUAGAGAAUAGUAAUAAUGAUGAUGACAAUGAUAAUAGUAAAGGAGGUGUGGCCUUUGCGUCUGUGUGUUUUUCGUUUUUUUCUAUAGUUUUGCAGUUUUCUAUUUUGGUAUUGUGGCCAGUUUUCAGUCAUGAGAUUUCAUCCCCAGCCUGGAGAGAAAAGAUUUUUCUUUCACGUAGCACACAAUUCACUCUUUGUUUUGUUUGUUUUGUAGAUAACAUCUUGAGCCGUAAGCGAAAUAUUUUCUGGCCGUUGUUACAGUGCUGGAUCAGGAGAGGACGUAGAGAACGAGCCGAAGCGACAACAUAUGCUCAGGCACAGAAAGGUGAGCCAGAGUGAAGCCUGUUUAUCUGACUUGACAUGACCUCUGACCCUCUAAUACUCACCCAUCAUUCCCUACAGGUGAUCCUGAAAGCACAGAGGAAGGAAUUCCAUUACAGAUGAAAUCUGGCUUACAGUCCUGACAUCAGGUUUAUUAACAGACUGAUAAUGACCACAUGACCUGUGAAAUGCCCAGAAAGCUGAAAUACCUGCUGUGUUUGAUUUAUUAACUGACAGGAAUGUUGAAGGAGCAUCGGGAUAUGAAGAUUACUGAUGAAGCUGCUGCUCCUCGGUACUCCUUCAAAAUAAAAUUUCAAAGACAUUGCAAACAUUUUUUUUUGUCUUUGACAACCACGAAAAGGAUGUCAGUCACCAAACAGUGCCUCUGUUAAAGUUUUAAAGGGAGUUAAUUAGAGUAACUUACAUUUUUACAUUUGGAUUGAUCUGAAUUGUGUACUAAUUUUGUCAGGCAAUAUAUACUAGAACAGUCUAGGAUUUCAAUUAAUAGGUUAAUACAUGUAGAGCUUAAUUGUUUGCUAACAUAUUAGACAUUAAAUGUCUUAUUUUAAUUGUAUAAUUAUAUGUAGCAUCUUUAACAGUAGUCAUUGCAGUGAGUUUUCAGUCUUUGCUUUAAGUUUAAGUUCAAUUUCAAUUGCUUUUUUAUAUUUUAGUUUAAGUUUUAGUUUCCACAGUUUUAGUUGUGAACACAGAAGUGGUUUGCCAUCAUUGGAACUUUUGGGGGAAAAAAAAAAAUUUGUUUUCCACUUUAAACUAGAAUUCGCAUUGCAAAUACAUGGUUAAAAAUAAAUAAAUAAAUAAUCAAAUUCUUACUGCACACUUUUUCUAUUUAGUAUCUGAGGUGUUAUAUAUAUUUUGUUGUCAUAAUUGUCUUACAUUUUCAUAAUUGCUAACUGUAAAAGUGUUUAUGAAGCAGG
ensembl:lncRNA